GCACAAGCGGUGGAGCAUGUGGUUUAACUCGAGGCUACACGAAAAACCUUACCUGGGUUUGACAUCCCACGAAUGAACCGGAAACGGGGAAGUCCCUUCGGGGCGUGGAGACAGGCGCUGCAUGGCUGUCGUCAGCUCGUGUCGUGAGAUGUUCGGUUAAGUCCGAAAACGAGCGCAACCCUCGGGUUCAGUUACAAGUGUCUGAACCGACUGCCUGCGGCAAGCAGGAGGAAGGUGGGCAUGAUGUCAAGUCAGCAUGGCCUUUAUAUCCAGGGCUACACACACGCUACAAUGGCGCGUACAAUGGUCGCGAAGCCGCGAGGUGGAGCCAAUCCUGAAAAGCGCGUCGUAGUUCGGAUUGUAGGCUGCAACUCGCCUGCAUGAAGCCGGAGUUGCUAGUAACCGCAGGUCAGCAUACUGCGGUGAAUACGUUCCCGGGC
rnacentral:rRNA from 1 species